GACCAGACUCCUACGGGAGGCAGCAGUGGGGAAUAUUGGUCAAUGGACGAGAGUCUGAACCAGCCAAGUAGCGUGAAGGAUGACUGCCCUAUGGGUUGUAAACUUCUUUUAUAUGGGAAUAAAACAGGGUAUGCAUACCCUCUUGUAUGUACCAUAUGAAUAAGGAUCGGCUAACUCCGUGCCAGCAGCCGCGGUAAUACGGAGGAUGCGAGCGUUAUCCGGAUUUAUUGGGUUUAAAGGGUGCGUAGGCGGACUGUUAGGCCGGGGGUAAAAGCCGGGGGCUCACCCCCGGCGAGCCGUUGAAACUGGCUGUCUUGAGAUGUCGAGAGGUAUGCGGAAUGCGCAGUGUAGCGGUGAAAUGCUUAGAUAUUGCGCAGAACUCCGAUUGCGAAGGCAGCAUACCGGCGGCGAUCUGACGCUGAGGCACGAAAGCGUGGGUAUCGAACAGGAUUAGAUACCCGUGUAU
rnacentral:rRNA from 1 species